rnacentral:misc_RNA from 2 species
AAGUCGUAACAAGGUUUCCGUAGGUGAACCUGCGGAAGGAUCAUUAUCGUAGGGCUUUUGUCCUGUCGAGAUAGCGUCCUUGCCUAUUUUUUGGAGCACCGUUCGUUUCCUCAGCAGGCUUGCCUGCUACUGGGGACCCCUCAAACUCUUUGUAAAUACAGUAAUCGUCUGAAAAACAAACAAAAAAUCAAAACUUUCAACAAUGGAUCUCUUGGUUCUG